CUAUUCGCUCUUUUCCGUUGCAGGCUUUGUUGGCGCUGCUGGGGGCACCGGGGAGCAGAUCUUGCGUGGUGUCUCUUUGGACUGAGACGAGCCUGGAGAUGCCAGAACCCCUCAAGCAUGGGACUAGCAGAGCUUUCACUGGCUUUCCUUGUGCUAGGCUGAUUCCUGUUCUAGUAGGACUUGGUGUCCAGCAGAUGGAUAUUGCAGUGGGAUAAUGGGCUGACAACUGCCUCUCUGCCCACUCCAGAGCCCAGCCGGGCUCAUCUGGAGACACGGGUCAAUCCAGAGCGGUUGCUGAGCAUGUCGGCCUGUUGGCUGGAAUGUGGACACAGAGCAGCUAUCAUGCAAGGGAUUUCUUGCUAAGUGGAAGAAGCUGCUGCUGCUGCUGCUAAGCAGAACUAUGGUUUUGCCACGUGGUGGAACGUGCUGGGUCUCCCAAGAGGCUAGAACGUGAGACAGACCUGUGGAUGGGAAAAAUCAAAGUGGACCCAAGAAACAGCUGACACUGGACUGUUGCCUCCAACUUUCAGUCCCUCCUACAAGCUCCAUCAGUGCGUCCUAAAGCAAACGUCGGCCUGCGUAGAAAAUCCCUGUUCCCCCUCCCCCAGACCUUGUCUGGUCUAGGCAGUAUCAGGAAAUGACAAGUGCAGCACUGCCUGACUCUUCUGUCCAUACUUUCAGCUGCUAAUCAGAUAUCUGACUGGCCUGUGGUCUGCGUCUGCUCCCAGCUCUGUUGCUAAGUGAGCUAGACCAGUGGUUCUCAACCUUCUGAGCAGGGGCCUGUUUGUAAAUGCAUCUGGCCAGUGGUGACGGGCAGUAGUCUGGGGCUGGCAGCAAUGGGGUGGCUUUGGUUGGAGCUGGCCUGGCACUUGCCCCACAGUGUUGUGGGGUUGGCAGGGCAUGGCUCUCUGCUCCAGGGUUGCAGCACACUCUGGUUUGGCCCUCUCCCCUGGCUGGACUGAAGUGGUGAGUUGUUGGGACUGGGCCGGUACAGUGCUGCUUGCUCAACCCUCGCCUGGCUGCGCUAGUGUCACGGUGGCUGGGCUAAACUGCGUGACUUUGUGCCUGGAGCACGGUGAGCCAGGCAGCCCUGUGGGACUGAGCUGCCACAACUGUUUGAAAUAAAGCCACUGCCUGUGUCCCAAACUAAAA